rnacentral:lncRNA from 1 species
CGAGUAGCCAUGUGCCAUAUGAUUUAUCGGAAGGCACUUCGUCUUAGUAAUAUGGCCAUGGGGAAGACAACCACAGGCCAGAUAGUCAAUCUGCUGUCCAAUGAUGUGAACAAGUUUGAUCAGGUGACAGUGUUCUUACACUUCCUGUGGGCAGGACCACUGCAGGCGAUCGCAGUGACUGCCCUACUCUGGAUGGAGAUAGGAAUAUCGUGCCUUGCUGGGAUGGCAGUUCUAAUCAUU